AUAUUUUUAGCCGCCAAACCCAGUAUGUUGGAUAUGACUUUCGGCUUGUAAUCGAGUGGGCUCGGGUUCGAAUCCCGAAUAAUGCA